ACGGGGGGUGCAAGCGUUAAUCGGAAUUACUGGGCGUAAAGGGUUCGUAGGCGGUUUAUUAAGUCAGAUGUGAAAGCCCAGGGCUCAACCUUGGAACUGCAUUUGAUACUGGUAGACUAGAGUAUAGUAGAGGAGUGGGGAAUUUCUGGUGUAGCGGUGAAAUGCGUAGAGAUCAGAAGGAACACCAAUGGCGAAGGCAACACUCUGGACUAAUACUGACGCUGAGGGACGAAAGCGUGGGGAUCAAACAGG
rnacentral:rRNA from 1 species